UCCUGGCUCAGAUUGAACGCUGGCGGCAUGCCUUACACAUGCAAGUCGAACGGCAGCGGACCUUCGGGUGCCGGCGAGUGGCGAACGGGUGAGUAAUAUAUCGGAACGUACCUUUCAGUGGGGGAUAACGUAGCGAAAGUUACGCUAAUACCGCAUAUUCCUGUGAGCAGGAAAGCAGGGGAUCGCAAGACCUUGCGCUGAUUGAGCGGCCGAUAUCAGAUUAGCUAGUUGGUGAGGUAAAGGCUCACCAAGGCGACGAUCUGUAGCGGGUCUGAGAGGAUGAUCCGCCACACUGGAACUGAGACACGGUCCAGACUCCUACGGGAGGCGGCAGUGGGGAAUUUUGGACAAUGGGCGCAAGCCUGAUCCAGCCAUGCCGCGUGAGUGAAGAAGGCCUUCGGGUUGUAAAGCUCUUUCGGCCGGGAAGAAAUCGCACAGGUUAAUACCCUGUGUGGAUGACGGUACCGGAAUAAGAAGCACCGGCUAACUACGUG
rnacentral:rRNA from 1 species